rnacentral:misc_RNA from 1 species
UUUGUUUACUCAUUCUACCACUACAUUCACCUACACCUCCGCUGCUUCCAGGAAUAUCAUUUCCCAAAUUACUAUCAUUGAUAGCUGACAUUUUUUCCCUCAAUUGAAUAAUAUUUCUUAGAAUACAUUUAAUUAUUUUCAGAUACAUCUGGUAAUUUUAAUCUGCUUUUUUAAAUCUCAUACUUUUUAAAGUUUUGUAUGAGCUCUUCCAAUAGAUGAUUUUACUUGAUUAAUAACCGAUCUAUAGAAAUAAUUGCUUUACAAAUAAUAUACUGUUAAAAUUUUUUAUAUAACAAAAUAUGUGUCUGGUAACUCCUUCUGUGCAGCGAGUUUUGCUUCAUAUCAUGCGUACAAUAUCGUCUCUCAGUCUAUACUUGCUUGAUUUGAAGGAAAGCGGAUCAAUCUUAGGUAUACGGUACUUAUACCUGAAUUAUGGACACACAUCUAUGAUCUGGUUUCACAUAUUAUAUGAAAAAAAAAUAUGUUUAGUAAAAAGAAUAUUAACACAGAUUUUUACAUAAAUAUGUGAUACAAAAAGAUCUGAUUACGGUACAAAAUAUGUUACAGAUCGUUAAUAAAAUUUCCAACUUACAACAAAAUAUGUUUUUGCAGUUUUCCUUUAACUAGUUCAUCAUAUUUAGCCGCAGUGGGAGUCAAUGAAACGUUGUUUUCAUCUUCUGCUUCGUAUAGACCAAGCACCAAUCCUUUCUGUUGGAAAUUUAGAUAUCAGAAAUUAAGUAUCGAAGUAUAGAAAUCUUAGAAUACGACACAGUACAUAUAUCGAAUCAUAGCCUCACAAAACAAAUUCAUUCGUUCUCCUCUCGGAAAGUUUUCUUUCGAUAAGAAAAGAAGAAAGCGAAAGGAGAAAAUUUAUAAUACAUUUUUCAAUAAAACUAUUAAUAACUUGUAUAUCUCAAUCAAGUAUUUCUCCCACUUCUCCUUCUACGAUGUUGAAUACCAAACUGAAAAUUUCUCGUUUCGGCAAUUU